rnacentral:rRNA from 1 species
UACAGAGGGGGCAAGCGUUGUUCGGAAUUAUUGGGCGUAAAGAGCUCGUAGGCGGCUUGUCACGUCGGUUGUGAAAGCCCGGGGCUUAACCCCGGGUCUGCAGUCGAUACGGGCAGGCUAGAGUGUGGUAGGGGAGAUCGGAAUUCCUGGUGUAGCGGUGAAAUGCGCAGAUAUCAGGAGGAACACCGGUGGCGAAGGCGGAUCUCUGGGCCAUUACUGACGCUGAGGAGCGAAAGCGUGGGGAGCGAACAGG